rnacentral:tRNA from 3 species
CGGGGAGUAGCUCAGUUGGCUAGAGCGCGCCGUUUGGGACGGCGAGGUCGGAGGUUCGAGUCCUCUCUCCCCGACUA